GCCGGGUGCGGUGGCAUGUGCCUGUAAUCCAAGUCACUGGGAGGCUGAGGUUGGUGGAUCAAGUGAGCUGAGGAGCUCUGGGCUGCAGCACACUAUGUGGAACGGGUGUCCACGCUAAGUUCGGUAUCGAUAUGGUGUUCCUGGGGGAGCCCGGGACCACCAGGUUGUCUAAGGAGGGGUGAACCGACCCAGGUCGGAAACGAAGCAGGUCAAAUCCCCCGUGCUGUCCAGUAGUGGGAUAAUACCUGUGAGUAGAUGCUGCAGUGCAGCCUUGGCAAAACAUCGAGACCUAAUCUUUC
rnacentral:SRP_RNA from 1 species